CAGCAGCCGCGGUAAUACGAAUGGAGCGAGCGUUGUUCGGAAUCACUGGGCGUAAAGAGUAUGUAGGCGGACUUGAAAGUCAGAAGUGAAAUCCCGGGGCUUAACCCCGGAAUUGCUUUUGAAACUCCAAGUCUCGAGUCCCGGAGGGGUUGGCGGAAUUCCGAGUGUAGAGGUGAAAUUCGCAGAUAUUCGGAGGAACACCAGUGGCGUAGGCGGCCAACUGGACGGGUACUGACGCUGAGAUACGAAAGCGUGGGGAGCAAACAGGAUUAGAUACCCUGGUAGUCCACGCCGUAAACGAUGUGUGCUAGUUGUCGGGUCCAUAGGAUUCGGUGACGCAGCUAACGCAUUAAGCACACCGCCUGGGGAGUACGGUCGCAAGAUUAAAACUCAAAGGAAUUGACGGGGACCCGCACAAGCGGUGGAGCAUGUUGUUUAAUUCGAAGCAACGCGAAGAACCUUACCCACACUUGACAUACUCGUCGGGGAUUACAGAGAUGUUUUCCUUCGGUUCGGCCGGACGAUGUACAGGUGCUGCACGGCUGUCGUCAGCUCGUGUCGUGAGAUGUUUGGUUAAGUCCAGCAACGAGCGCAACCCCUAUCGUAUGUUGCCAGCAUUUAGUUGGGCACUCAUGCGAGACUGCCGGUGUUAAGCCGGAGGAAGGUGGGGACGACGUCAAGUCAUCAUGGCCCUUACGUGUGGGGCUACAAACGUGCUACAAUGGGAGUGACAGUGGGCAGCGACACAGCGAUGUGAAGCUAAUCCCAAAAAGCUCUCUCAGUUCGGAUUGUACUCUGCAACUCGAGUGCAUGAAGUCGGAAUCGCUAGUAAUCGUGGAUCAGCAUGCCACGGUGAAUACGUUCCCGGGUCUUGUACACACCGCCCGUCACACCAUGGGAGUUGGUUUUACCUGAAGACGGUGCGCUAACUUUGGAGGCAGCCGGCCACGGUAGGAUUAGCGACUGGGGUGAAGUCGUAACAAGGUAACCGUA
rnacentral:rRNA from 1 species